rnacentral:misc_RNA from 1 species
GAAAUGCGAUAAGUAAUGUGAAUUGCAGAAUUCAGUGAAUCAUCGAAUCUUUAAACGCAGCUUGCGCUCCUUGGUAUUCCUUGGAGCAUGCCUGUUUGAGUAUCAUGAAAUCUUCAAAGUAAAUCUUUUGUUAACUCAAUUGGUUUCUACUUUGGUAUUGGAGGUCUUUGCAGCUUCACACCUGCUCCUCUUUGUUCAUUAGCUGGAUCUCAGUGUUAUGCUUGGUUCCACUCGGCGUGAUAAGUUAUCUAUCGCUGAGGACACUGUAAAAGGUGGCCAAGGUAAAUGCAGAUGAACCGCUUCUAAUAGUCCAUUGACUUGGACAAUACUUUUAUGAUCUGAUCUCAAAUCAGGUAGGACUACCCGCUGAACUUAAGC